UAGGUCCUGCAGAGUUGGUCAAAGGGAAAGCCUGUGUUUGCUGUUUCGGAGCACCUGCUGAAACUGACCCUGCAUUGAUGUCUGUCUACAUUGUCAUUCAAGAUUUUGCUCAAGUGUCUCCUCCUUAGAGGACAGUGAGGCUUCUAUCCUCCUCAAGUGUGAAUGAUGAUAGUGAGGGUGACAGAAGAUGGCAUCUCCACGAUGAUCAACAAGAACAACAAUUCAUGUGUGAAUCACUUCUUUGGCUUUUGGCUGAGAUCAAGUGCAAUGCACGUGUGACCUCUCGUCCUCUGGUGUCUCUGAUGAUUAGAUGAAGACAGUUGUUAAAACAAAGUCUUGUUUCAGCACCAAGCUGCAACAGACAUGAACUUUCAAAUGGAGGUGCCAAAUGUCCACGUGCAGAUAUUCAUCAGGAAUUUCUGAGAAACUUGCUCUGAAACACUGAGACUCUCUCAACUACUUGAAGAAUAGAAACCCAAUCUCUACUAAAAAUACAAAAAUUAGCCAGGCAUGGUGGCACAUGCCUGUAAUCCCAGCUACUUGGGAGGCUGAGGUAGGAGAAUCGCUUGAACCCAGGAGGCGGAGGUUGCCUCCUUAAUCCAAAGGAUUAAGAGCAUGGACAAGAAAAGAUUUUGGUGAAGAAGAUUUCUUCAGGAAAAUUGAUAUUGAGAUCUCCCUCCUGUCUUCACCACAAAGGCGAUCCUGCACCAAAGUUGAUGGGAGGCAAAACCAGAGCCUGCCCUGGGGACAGCCAGUGUCUGGGUAGACCUUGACUAACUUAAAAACUAGUUGGAAAUAUCUUUGUUUUACUUCUCUUUCCUUUAUUUGGUUGAGGUUAAAAAUUAUAAAAAUAGUGCAUAUUACCACAAUCUGGGUGCCGUAAACAACAAAAGUUUAUUGUCUCACAGUUCUGAAGGGCAGAAGUCUAAAUUCAGGGCAUUAGCAAGGCUGUGCUCCUUCUGAAGCCUCUAGGAUCAUUCCUUACCACUUCUGGCUUCUAGUAGCCCUAGGCAGUCCUUGGCUUGUGACAGCAAAACUCCAAUUUUUCCCUGUGUCUUCUUGUGGCUGUCUUUCCUCUAUCUGUGGCAUUCUCCUCCCUGUAUAUGUCUGUGUCCAAAUGGCACUCUUUUUUUUUUUUUCAGAUGGAGUCUCACUUUGUUGCCCAGGCUACAAGGCAGUGGCAUAAUUUUGGCUCACUGCAACCUCUGCCUCCUGGGUUUAAGUGAUUCUCCCACCUCAGCCUCCCAAGUAGCUGGGAUUAUAGGCAUGCACCGCCAUGCCCGGCUAAUUUUUGUAUUUUUAGUCGAGAUGGGGUUUUUGGCAUGCUGGCCAGGCUGGUCUCGAACUCCUGACCUCAAGUGAUCUGCCCACUUUGGCCUCCCAAAGUACUGGGAUUACAGGCAUGAGCCACCGUGCCUGGCCCAAAUGUCACUCUUCUUAUAAGGACACCAGUUGUAUUAGAUUAAGGGCCCACCCUACUCCGGUAUGACCACAUCUUAACUAAUUAUUGCAUCUGCAACAACCUCAUUUCCAAAUAAGGUCACUUUUUUGAGGUGCUGGGGGUUAAGACUUCAACAUAUGCUUUUUUGGGGAACACAAUUCAACUCAUAGCAUAGGGAGAGAAAGUAAAGGGGUGGGGGGUAACGAAAAGGUGAGAAGUCCAUCUUCUGAGGUCCAUCUUCCCAAAACCCCUGUUUCUAUUCUACUCAGUUGGUCUGUAUCCUUACUUCCUCAAUAAACUUUUGGUACAAACUUCCUGCUUCAAAGACUCUUGACCUUCUGAACUUCUACUUAAUUCUCUACUCCAUUCCUGAAGACUGCCCUCCACCCUCACCCCCACUUUAUGCCUUUGUCGCCAUGAUGGAUCCUGCUCACCAUUCCUCCUCGGUGCACCCCCACUCACCUAGGUCUGCUGUGCACACAAGGUCACAGCCUUGACCUUCUUGCCCUCCCCAACAGGACACAUAUCUUGCCUCUUCGGCUUCUUGCCCAGCACACAAUGAGACUCACAUGUCCAGAAAUCUUGCCUUAGAGUCCCCUUCCUCCCCAACCUCACUGAUCCGACCAUCUGCUAGAAGCCAAGCUCCAGCCACCUGCUUGAGGACUGCUUUUGUGUCUCAGUGCUGAGGAUCCCAGGGUAAACUGCUAGGGUGAGAAAAUUCUCACGUUGGCCCUUGAAAUUUCCCAUAUUUUUCCUUUAGGACUAGUAUGGCAGUUAUAUCCAUUUGUCAAAAUACAGGGACCAGUGCUUGUAAAGGAGGAAAAUAUAACUGUUGGAGAAACAUUUACUGUUAGAAAAUCUUCAUGUGAAGUGUAUAAAAUUAAAUUGAGGCUUGGAGUUCAAACUUCUUCCCCUGAUUAAUCCUUUGUGUUUCUAUGAAUACACUAGUAAAAUACAAGCCCAGUAUGUUGGAAAAACAAUACCUUAAACCUUUGAGUGAGGUUGACCCAGGAGCACUGAAUAGCUUACUUGAGAUGGUAGUUUCCUGAGGAGAUACCUCCCAGAAGGCUGUGUUAGGUUGGUGAGAACUUUGCGUUGAGCAUUAGGGAGCUGAAGCAAGUCUUUUCACCAUUCUGGAUUUUGGUUUCCUCACCUGCAAUAGCACAGGGUAAGUGAGUUCUUUCAGCCUUACCAUUCCAAUUAUUUUAAAAAAUGAUCAAAAUCUUUUAAAUUUGGGAUUACAGGCAUGUGCCACCAUGCCUGGCUAAUUUUCAAUUUUGGGGGGAACAAAAUUCAACUCAUAGCAUAGGGAGAGAAAGUAAAGGGAUGGGGAAUAACAAAAAAAUGAGAAGUCCAUCUUCUGAGGUCCAUCUUCCUAAAAC
rnacentral:lncRNA from 1 species